rnacentral:tRNA from 1 species
GGAUUGUGGCUCAGUGGUAGAGCACUUGCUUCUCACGCACGAGGCACUGGGUUCGAUCCUUGGCACCA